rnacentral:tRNA from 1 species
GGCAUGCUACGCCAAUAUGGUAGAGCGACCUGGCUCAAACCCAGGUGGAUGGGGGUUCGAAUCCCUCGCGUGCUA